CCUACGGGAGGCAGCAGUGGGGAAUAUUGCACAAUGGGGGAAACCCUGAUGCAGCGACGCCGCGUGAGCGAUGAAGUCUUUCGGUAUGUAAAGCUCUAUCAGCAGGGAAGAAAAUGACGGUACCUGACUAAGAAGCCCCGGCUAACUACGUGCCAGCAGCCGCGGUAAUACGUAGGGGGCAAGCGUUAUCCGGAUUUACUGGGUGUAAAGGGAGCGUAGACGGUUCUGCAAGCCAGAUGUGAAAGCCCGGGGCUCAACCCCGGGACUGCAUUUGAAACUGUAAGGCUAGAGUGUAGGAGAGGCAGGCGGAAUUCCUGGUGUAGCGGUGAAAUGCGUAGAUAUUAGGAGGAACACCAGUGGCGAAGGCGGCCUGCUGGACGAUGACUGACGUUGAGGCUCGAAAGCGUGGGGAGCAAACAGGAUUAGAUACCCUAGUAGUC
rnacentral:rRNA from 1 species